GUUGCCGUGGCCGAGUGGUUAAGGCGAAAUACUUGAAAUCUUUUGGGAUUUUCCUGCGCAGGUUCGAAUCCUGCCGAAAACG
rnacentral:tRNA from 1 species